AACAAUUGAUUAAUUAUAAUAUGUAAAUUAUAAAAUUAUUGUAUUUGAAAUAGUUAUAUAAACAUUUAAGUAUAUGAUUAAGUAUAGAAAAAUGAAAAUAAACACCUGCGUGGUUGAGCGGGUCAAAAUCUAGUAAUGAUUAAAUCAUCUAAUCUAUUAAAAUAGAAGUACAAAUUAGAAUUAACCAUCAUUUCACCUUUAAUAUUAUAAUGUCAAUUUAUUUAACCAACUUACUAUAUUAGCCAACUAUGAUAGAACAUAUAUAUAUAUUCUAUAAGCCAUACUAUUUGUCUGAUUUAUACUAACUAACUAUAUGAGCUUUAAUAGUUUACAAACAUAUAAUAAGUCGUUGCGUAUAUGUAUUAUACAUUUUAUAUGUAUAAAGUCUGGUCCUUUCAGCAUAUAGAACAUAUAGCCAGAAAAUUACAUCAAUAUGUUUUCACACAUGAUGAUAAAUUUAUAUAUUAUAUUGUUUAUUUUACAUGUUGAUUAGUAUGUUUUACAUUGAAGGUUCGAGAUUUUUAAUAGUCUCAAUUUUAAACAAACCCCAAAUACAUUGCUGCCAUACAUAGCUAAAUACAUGGAACAAUAAAAAUUCAGAACACACCCUACCAUUAAAUUCAAAUUCACACGCCUAACAAUAAAAAUUCCUGAAACAUGUAUUUAGCUAAAUACAUGGAACAAAACAGAAUAUUUUACCUUCCUAAACAAUCUCAAAACCGAAUCUUAUGCACAUAUAUAGUUACCCAAAUAAGGAUAACCAGCGAAAAUUUCAAAUCCCUAUAUUUUCUCCAACUAAAAACUAUAAAAAGUUAAUUUCAACUUUAAUUUCUAAUUGAAUUAAAUAAGAAAAUGUAUUACAUUGCUUUCUUCUUAGUCCUAACAUUCUAAAUAAACCAAGUAUUACUUUUACCUAUGGGUUUUCAAUCUAGAUUUCAGUUCGGUUUCGGCUUAUUUUUUUAAUUUUUUGGUAUUUUGGUUUACUAAAAGUAGAUAUCAUAUUAAACUAUAUUUAUUUUGGUUUGGCUCGGUUUAUAUACCAUCAAUUUUUGGUUUAUUUGGUUGCCAGAAAUAAUUUAUAUAUUUAUCUUUUAUUAAUUAUAUUAUACAAUGUACAUAUAACUAUACUACUAUAUUUUAAUGAAUCGGUUUAUUCGGUAUGAUUGCUUUAUAUAUAAAGUUAUAUCCAUAUACCACAAUUUAUGUAUAUUUGAUACUACAAAAUCUAAAUAACUUUUUCUAUUUUGAUUUGGUUCGAUUUUAUUGGUUCAGUUUUACCGGUAAACAACCCUAUUCUUACUGGAUAUCUUAUUAAUGAUCAUUUUACAUAUAAAAACAAUUGCUGCCUCAAAAGAAUGUGAAACAACUAUUACACAAAUACACAAGACAUCAUAUACUUAUUUUCAUGCAAAAAUAUAUUUCUUUAUUAUUUGGUCUUACAAUGUAAUAUUUCUAUUAAAUUGUUAUUCUUAUUUUUCAGUGUUGAUGGAUGGUUACAUAAAAGAAAAGUUAAAUAAAUAAUGAAAAGCUUGAUGGGAAAGUAAUUAAAACUUGGUGAGAAAGUAAUUCAAGUUGCUGAUAAAGUAACAACAUUUAAAUAAUUAUCUAUGGUCCAUCAGAAGACAACACUUCAGAAAAUUAUAAAAUCAACGUAUAAAAAAGUUCUUAGAUAAAGGGAGAUAAACCUAAAAAAAAUUCUCAAGAUCAAGAACUUGUCUUCAGUAAUCAAAACAGUUCAAAAGUCUUUUACCGCUACGAACAAUUGAGGUAUUCUUUUAAUCUUCCUUAUAGAUAUAUCAUGUGGUUAGUCCAGAUUUUAAAAUCUUAUGGUUUAUGUAAAUCAAGUUUAUGUUGCCCGGAUAUGCUCUCUCUGGUCCUAGAGAACUUAUGCUUAUCACACCUAAAAGCCUCUCUAUGUGUAUCUUCCUGAUCCUGGUCCUCAUCCACUGAAACUUAUGUUAAGGAUCCAGUAUAAUAUCAGCAUGCGAAUUACCUAGCAAAUGAACAUCAUAGACUCUGCAUUUUCAUCAUAAAUCAAUCAUUAAUUCAAAUUGGUACUGGUUUUUUCUUUUUUUUUGAACACGUAUACUGGUUUUUUCUAAUACAAUUAAACACCACUAUCCUCUAUAUCAGGCAAGUGCUACAAUUCUACUGCUAUAUAUAUAUGUUAGGAUGCGUGAUAACUUAAUCAAAAAGUGAAUAAACUAAACCUGAAUAGCAAAAAGUUACAAGCAGAUAGCUUAAUCACACAAAAUUGUGGAUAAGUAUUCAUGUAUGGACAUAAAGCUGAGUUUUGUAAGAAGUUACGGUCAACGGAUUAGAAUCUUAACUUUUGGUUGGGUCGUCCAAGUCAGAAUCAUUGUAUUCGAAUUUCAGUGGAGUCACUGGACGAAUUGGGUUAGGGUACGACUUCUGAGAUCUGACCAAGUCAUUCAUCCGAGACCCGGUUUAGUCAUUCAUAGUUUUAAUUAUGGUUAUUUAUUUUCGUGGAACGUUACAAGAUAUAUCAAAUAUUAUACAACCAAAGCAAAAUAAGACUAUCUAUGUCAUUCUACUUGAUUUUUUAAUAGAAUUAAGUUUUUUUUAACAACAUAGAAGUGAGUUCUAUUCAAACAAUAUUCUAUUUUAGAAGAAAAAUAAUUUGAUAUACGUAAUAGAAUUGAGUUUUUUAACAACAUAGAAGUGAGUUAUAUUCAAAUAGUACUCUAUUUUAGAA